UACGUAGGUGGCAAGCGUUGUCCGGAUUUACUGGGCGUAAAGCGCGCGCAGGCGGACUGAUCAGUCUGGGGUGAAAUCUCCCGGCUCAACUGGGAGCGGUCCCUGGAUACUGUCAGUCUUGAGAGACCUAGAGGAGAGCGGAAUUCCCGGUGUAGUGGUGGAAUGCGUAGAUAUCAUUUGGAACGCCAAUGGUGAAAACAGGUAGCUGGGGCUGUGCUGACGCUGAGACACGAAAGCCAGGGGAGCAAACGGG
rnacentral:rRNA from 1 species